rnacentral:lncRNA from 1 species
UAUUGGAAGCAGAAGGCAAAUAAAAAGCCUAAAAUAAACAGACAUAUAAUAAUUCAGCAAAUGCCUGAUAAUGGUCAACGGGGCCUAUACAUGGACCCCAUGCUUACAAAAAAGCACAGCUGACGUUACACCUUCAAGUAAAAUCAAGAAAAGCAAAAAGCCCAAUACACUUUUCCCCUCUCACACACUCCCAUCUCGAUCUGACUUUGCUACAAACAUAGAAAACCAAAAAAACUCAAUUGGCACAGUGAAAUAAAAAUAAACAGGUGGGUGAUUAGGUAUGUUAAUUAUGUGUAGGGGUGUUUGUUUGGUAGUUAGUUAAUUAUUGUGAAUGGGAAAAAAUAUCUUUUUGAUCUAAUCUUGAUUUUCUCUUUGGUGAAAUUUCAGCUUCCUUUUUUUUUUUUGAGUUGGGAAUUGCCAUUUGACUCUAUGAGCAAAGAAAGGCCACCAGAGCCUCUGGAUUUCUUUAUUUGGACUGUUGAGGUAAUGAGAUUCUUCACUAAUUUUGAUUCAUCCAUAUUCCAGAUCUCGGGAGUAGCUUUGAUACCAUGAUUUUGUAAUGGAGUUUUAUGAUUACUGGAUGUAGAAUUUUGUUGUUUCUUUCUGUGGCUCUUUCGUCUCUCUACCUACAUGAUUUAGUGGUAAGGCUUGCGUACACUCUACACACUCUACACUCGCUGACCCCACUUGUGGGAUUUCACCGGGUAUAUUGUUGUAUUGUUUGUAUUUUUUCUGUGUCUCACUGUUGUAGUUGUUGUAUAUGAUGGGUUUCUCUUGAUAAUCUGAUGAUUUGUAGGUGACAUAAGUUCAAAAAAUGCAAUUUGUUCAUCGUUUUUUUGCUCUUAUUGUUGAACUUUUGAGUUUGGUCUGUAUAAGGAAUAUGAUAAUUCUGCUAAUGCAUAUACAUUUGGGGACUGAUGUACAGAAUUCUAUAGGUUGGUUACUGGUGAAGGGAGUGAAAGAGAGUCUAUGUUCUUAAAGACAACUUCAAUCCUGAGUGUCCUUAAAGUACGUAAAUAUAUAUAUGUUUUUCAUCGAGUUAGAUAAAUUUUGAUACUUUUGAUUGAGAUGGAAUAACAAAAUAUGAUGAUAAAAUAAGUAUGGUUUUAUUUAUAUGCAAAAUAAGUAGAGGUAUGUUGUUGUUGUUGUUGCAAAAUAAAUAGAGGUAACUUUUUCCUUAUUCCCGUUAAGCUUGUAUCAAGUUCUACUAGAAGUGUAGUAAGAAAAUCUUGAAAGAAAGAGAGAUGAGAAAAUAUUGGAGAACUGAAUGUUGGGAAACACUAUUUUGAAAUUCCUCUUGGAGAAUUAGUGAGAUAUUCUUCUAGCUAUUUUAUUUUUAUCAAAAAAAUUCUCUUGGCUAUUUUAUGGGUUAACUAGAGUGUUGUCUCUAAUGUUUUGUUGUCAUUAUACACUUGAGAAUUGAUAUAGUAGGAUUACUCCUCCUAGUCCGUGAGGCAUGUUGGCUGGACCACGAAAAUCUCCAUCUCUAUGUUAUUUGUUGUCCUAUUCAGUCCAAAGAAUUAGUUAAUCCUGUCCAUGUUAUAGACAGACGAAUCAUAAGAACAUCACUGAAAGGGUAUACAAUAAGAUGAAAUGACCACAAAGAAAAUGAAGCGAAAUGCACAACAAGCCACAGUAAAGGAACACUUAAUGAAGUUCCCAAAGGUGUGGCGUUGUGGUCAAUGAAGUGGGUUGAGGAUCAUGAGGUCUCAGGUUCAAAACCCCAACGGAGGCAAACACACCAGGUGAUUCUUCCCAUCAAUCCAACUUCCAAGCCUUAAUGGAUAGAGUUACCCGGUACUAGUUUUGGUGGAAGGUUGUAAGCAAAACAUGAAAUUAGUCGAUGUGCAUGCAAGGUAGCCAAGACACCACAGUUGUUAAAAAAACAAAACACUUACUGCUUUGGAAAGUAAUGAAAUCUUUUCUAGCUCCUCUCCUACAUAAAAUAGCAAAGUCAUCCAUCCAUUGUGCGACGUUUAAGGAUUGAAGGCUUUUGUAUUAUUUAAAAGUAUAUAGGUUGUUCACUUCACGACUCUCUUUAUGGAUCCAUUUAUAUGACCAUGGCUGAUUAGCAACUUCAUUUAAGGUUGAUGUGUGGGCAUACUAGGUGUGAUAGGAUCAAGAAUGAACUUAUUUGAGAUAAGGUGGGAGUUGCCUCCGUGGUGGAUAAGAUGAAAGAAGCGAGAUUGAGAUGGUUUGGACAUGUAGUGAGGUUAGGUGCAGAUGUCCUUGUGAGGAGGUGUGAGAGGUUCGAUAUAGUAGGUAUGAGGAGGUGUAGAGUUAGGCCAAAAAAGUAUUAGGUAGAGGUUAUUAGACUAGACAUUGUGCAUAUUCAGAUUACUGAGGACAUGAACUUAGAUAGGAGGAUGUGGAGGACGCGUAUUAUAGUAUAAGGUUAGUUGGGUAGGAGUGUUGUCGUACACUAUAUGGUAGCUUAUGGUUAUAGUAGCUUAUGAUAUCUAUCAUUGUUAUUGUUAUAGUGUUUUGAUUAUCGCACUAUUUUUGUGAUGAUUAUUGUUAUUCUUGGUAGAUUUUGCAUUGUUCCCUUGUUAACUGCUAUAUUUUCUUUAUUGUUUUCCUUUUCUUUGUACUUAAAUUUGCUACACUUGAAUCUAAGGUCUUUCGAAUCAACCUCUCUACCUCCCGAGGUAGUGGUAAGGUCUGCAUAUACUUUACCUUCCCAGACCUCACGUGUAGGAUUAUACUAGGUAUGUUGUUAUUUAUCCCAUAUAGUACAUAUUGUAGCUAGCGGGACCUUUUUUCCUUUUGCACACAAAGGCAGAGCUAGGAUUUGAAGUGAUUAAAGAACGUGUAUCGAUAUUCAACAUAUUUUUAAAAAGUAAUGAACCAGUUAAUCGUAAUAUAUGAAUAUAAAGAUUACAAUUACAGUUGCACUUGAUAACUUGUCAUGUUUUGAAAACAAUCAAUGAUCGCAUAAUUAUGUACAUUUUUAAUACUUUAUCCUCUAUAACAAACUAAACAAUUAUUGAAAAAGCCAUCAACCAUUCAGCGUCUCAAGUCAUUUUUAAUAAACUUCAUUGAUGAAAAAAUUCUUCCUACUAUUGAAGUAGUGACAGGCAAUAUCAAACUCAACUUAACAACAAACAAACAAGUCUCUAUGUUUGUAUUUGUUUAACCAAUUUCUUUAGCUCUCCAAAAGUCCAUUCAAGUUAGAGAAACCAUUGUCCACUUCUCGCAUAUGAUCAAUAUAGUUAUUAGCUCAAACUGAGAUCUUCAAGUUUGGAAAAAGUGAACUCAUUUGGAUAAUAUGUAGCAAACUUCAUGAUCUUAUUUUUAUCACAAUUUACAAAAGAAUCAUCGGGGCUUAAACUAGUUAUAUCAAGAAGCAAAUUAGUAUUCACUUUAUUAAGACGUGUUGAACUCCAAGAGUUGCAAAUCGAUAUCAACAUAAAUAAGUUACUAUAAAUGCUGAGAAUAUGUAGGACCUGCAGUUACACUUUAAUUUUCCAAGACCAUACUUCUCAUCAAUUUCUGGGAUCACAAUACCGUGCUUGUCACAAAUCAAGGAGACAUUUUUGAGCAAAUUAUUCCAUGUAGAAACCCUCAUCCAUUGUGAAUCUCUCUUUUGAAAUGAACAAGCUUCAUAGCAUUUCAAAUAUAUCGAUCUUUUCUUUACAAAGACAUCCAUCCAAUUUAUGUGUAACUGUGGACACUUUCAACACCAAACACAACAGAUAUACAGAUUUAUAAGAUCUUAUGUCAUUCACUAGACUUUUUGCCAUUGUUUUUUCAUGGUAAUUUAAAACCUCAUAGCAAGAACUCCAAUUGCAUGAACAAUUGAUGAGAAUAAAGAAAUAAAGUUACAUAUUGUCUUAAAAUGAGAUCCCUAACGAGUAUCACCUAACCUUUGAAGUCCAAGUUCUUGAUUUAUUUCACUUCAUGUAUGGAAGUUCAUAAAGCACUAGUAACAUCUGUUGUUUUCAGCCCGAUCAUCACCCUACGUGUAAUAAAACCUCUAAAAAUAUUCAAGUUAUUGGCAGGAUUAUCAAAGAAACUAUCCACUUUAGAAUGUUUCUUUGCAACAGUUACAAGAGUUAAUUUCUAUUAAUGAGCAAAAUAAUGUAUGCAAUAUGCCUAAGGAGUAUCUUUUAGAAUCAAAGUUUUAAGACCAUUAAUUUUUCUUGCANNNNN